AUAAGCGCUGAAAGCAUAUAAGCGCGAAGCUGUCUGCAAGAUUAGGUUUCAUAGGUUCGUCGUAGACGACGACGUUGAUAGGCCCUAGGUGUAAGCGCGGUAACGCGUUCAGCCGAGGGGUACUAAUAAACCAUCACUCUUCACCUU
rnacentral:rRNA from 1 species